ACUAGUCUUCAGCCUCCACAACCAGUAUCAUCCGGAAAUGCAGUUUCUGGAGGUAUGCCAGGUGCUCAUGGAGUGGCGAACAGAUCUGCUCCUCGGCCAAUGCCAAUGGGCAUGCAGAGAAUGCAAUCUCAGGCCAUGGCUGGUUACAAUAUUGCUCAGGCAGGGAUGGGAGGUGGAAUGAAUCCAGCUGGCCUACCAAUGCCAAGAGGUGUUGCUGCCCAGCCCCAUCAGCAGCAACAUUUACGGAGGAAAGACCCACCGGGAAUGGGGUCUGGAUACCCUCCACAGCAGAAAUCCAGGCGCCAAUAAGCGAAUGACAUUUGAUUGUGAGCUAUAAUUUAACUUCUGUUGGAGCACAAUCCUGUCCCUCUAGAAGGGCAUCCAAGUUCAAGUCCAAGUCCAACUCAUUAAGGUUUUUCAGUCAUGCCAUGUAUGGGACAUUUGGUCAGCUGCUGUACUGUAGACCUGUUUCUGACAUGGCAGCGUCAUCUGAGCUUGAGGAGGCACCUUAAUUGAUGCCUAUCAGUAUGAAUUUUGAGCUACAUAUCCAAAUGGCAAGGUACCAUGGUAGGAGAGGGUGCAAGAAAAUAUCUUGUAUUUGGAAUGGUUCCUUGACGUUGGUGGACUAAAGUUUGUCAUUUCUUACCCUUUUAAGGGAUGUAUAUCAGUGUAUGAAAUUAAUACGAGACAAAGGCUUCUUCUUCUUUUUUUUUUUGAACCAAAAUGAACGUGUGAAUUCUGC
rnacentral:misc_RNA from 1 species